ensembl:snRNA U6 U6 spliceosomal RNA
GUGCUUGCUACGGCAGCACAUAUACUAAAAUUGGAACGAUACAGAGAAGAUUAGCAUGGCCCCUGCGAGGAUGACAACGCAAAAUCGUGAAUGCGGCCAAUUCCUU